rnacentral:sRNA from 2 species
UAACAAGAUGAAUGCUGAAGUCAUUGCAGAUGUCUUCAUCAGAAGCUCAUUCUAUCACAUACACAGUCUACUUUUAUUUAUUGUAUCAGAUAGAGACAGUCAGUUCAUGAGUGCACUUUGAAUCUGUGUAUACCAGCUACUGAGAAUUGAGUGAAAAUUGUCAAUAGCAUAUCACUCAGAGAUCAAUGAAGCCACUGAGAGAAUGAUACAGAUAGUUAAGAACAUUCUUCAAAAGUUCUGCAACUACACAUAAGAUGACUGAAGCAAUCUGCUGCCACAUGCUGAGAUUGCCAUAAACAGCUGAGAUUCUGCUACAAUAGAUGUAAGUCUAUUUUUUCUUCUACACAGUUAUGAUUUAGAGAUUCUGAACUUCUCUGAGAUCUCUCAAGAAAUCACAUACAUCCACAGUCCCAUACAGAUGGCAGAGAAUAUAGUUAGCAAGCUCAAGAAAGCUCACAAGUGGGCCAAAGCUUCAAUGGUCAGUGCUCAACAAGACUAUGAGAAUCAAGUGAACAUCAGAAGGAGUUCUGCAAUCUGUUACAGUAUAGAAGAUAAGAUCUGAUUAGAUCUCAAGAAUAUAAGAACAGAUCACUUCUCACAUACACUGAACUACCAUCACAUCAAAUAUACAGUAGUAGAAGUGCUAGGCAUCCACAACUAUCAACUGAACACCUCAUCUGGCAUCCACAAUGUCUUUCAUAUAAACCUGCUCCAACCCACAGUCAAGAAUCCAUUCUCUUCACAAAAGAUCUUCAACUGACAACCAUCUGUCAUUAUAGAAGAAGACAAUGAACUCAAAUGAGAAAUUGAAGCAAUUCUCAGCAAUAGAAUCAAUCACUGCCACUGUGAAUACUUUGUCAAAUGGGUAGGAUACAAUUGUUCAACCUGGGAACCCACAUCCAUCA